CCUACGGUGGACAGCAGUGGGGAAUAUUGGGCAAUGGAGGAAACUCUGACCCAGCAACGCCGCGUGAGUGAUGAAGGUCCUCGGAUUGUAAAGUUCUUUUCUAAGGGAAGAAGAAGGCGACGGUACCUUAGGAAUAAGCCUCGGCUAACUACGUGCCAGCAGCCGCGGUAAUACGUAGGCGGCGUGCGUUAUCCGGAAGGACUGGGCGUAAGGGGUGCGUAGGUGGUUUGGCAAGUUAGUAGCGUAACUCCAAGGCCCAACCUUGGAACUACUACUAAAACUGUUGGACUUGAGUGCAGGAGGGGCAAGCGGAAUUCCUGGUGUAGCGGUGGAAUGCGUAGAUAUUAGGAGGAACACCAGUGGCGAAGGCGGGUUGCUAGACUGUAACUGACACUGAGGCACGAAAGCGUGGGGAGCAAACAGGAUUAGAUACCCCUGUAGUC
rnacentral:rRNA from 1 species